GCAUUACUGAAGAGUCCCAAACUAGGACGAAACAACUACCUGUCCAGUAC
rnacentral:hammerhead_ribozyme from 1 species